rnacentral:misc_RNA from 1 species
UACAGAGACCUCAAGCGUUAUCCGGAAUCAUUGGGCGUAAAGCGUGCCGAUAGGUGGUUUAUUUAGUCUUGGGUGAAAGACCGAAGCUCAACUUCGGAGUUUGCUUAAGAUACUAAUAGACUAGAGGGGCAAAGAGGUGCUUGGAACGAAUGGUGUAGUAGUGAAAUGCGUUGAUAUCAUUCGGAACACCGAAAGCGAAGGCAGAGCACUGGGUGCCACCUGACACUGCUAGGACGAAAGCGUGGGGAGCGAAUGGG